ACGGAAGGCAGCAGUGAGGAAUAUUGGUCAAUGGACGCAAGUCUGAACCAGCCAUGCCGCGUGCAGGAAUAAGGCCCUAUGGGUCGUAAACUGCUUUUGUGGUGGAGCAAUAAGUCGUACGUGUACGGCGAUGAGAGUACAUCACGAAUAAGCAUCGGCUAACUCCGUGCCAGCAGCCGCGGUAAUACGGAGGAUGCAAGCGUUAUCCGGAUUUAUUGGGUUUAAAGGGUGCGUAGGCUGUGGUCCAAGUCAGGGGUGAAAGCCCGGAGCUCAACUCCGGAACUGCCUUUGAUACUGGAUUGCUGGAAUACGGAUGCCGUGGGAGGAAUGAGUAGUGUAGCGGUGAAACGCAUAGAUAUUACUCAGAACACCGAUUGCGAAGGCAUCUCACGAAUCCGUCAUUGACGCUGAGGCACGAAAGCGUGGGGAUCAAACAGGAUUAGAUACCCUGGUA
rnacentral:rRNA from 1 species